ensembl:lncRNA
GUUGUGCGUGUGUGGAUAUAGUCCAUGUUUUCUUGUUACUCGUUGUCAUUAAUGUUACGUGAUUGUUUUGCCGUGUUUCUCAAGUUCCGUGAUUAUUAAUUAAGUUUCUAGUGUUGCCGACCUCAGACUAUUAUCUCGACUAUUCUCUUGCUUAUGCCCAUUUGGUUUUGUUUGCCUGCUCUUGGACUGUCUACCCGUGUACCAAAUCCUGUUAAGUAAAACAUUUACCCUUCCAUCUACUGCUGUGUUUUGAGUCGUGCGUUUUGAGUCCUGCACAUCACCCUCAAUUCGUAACAUGGCUGGCCUCAACUUCGGUAAGUUAAAGAGUUUGUGUAUAGUUACUAUUUUGUACGUAUGUGUUUAUGUAUUUUUAUACUGCAGCAAUGCUAAUGUGUUUUUGUUAAUAUACAGGCUUAUUUUUAAAUGUAUAGAAUAUGCAGAGUUAUUUGGGUUGCCCGUAGCUGGAGGUCUCGCAAGUCACGAUCAACUGCUGCAUGGACCUAUAAUCACGCACCAAUAUAUUCGAUCUACAACACCCAAUUUAUAUUGUAAGUGUCCUCCCUACUUUAAAAAUAAAUAAACUAAUUGAAGCUAUGCUUAACUUUGUAAUACAUGUAUUUUACCAACACCAGAUCCUAUCGAUGGUGCCCGGCCUACAUCGCAGUAGUUAUAACACUGGACCCAAUACAAACUCCGCAAUAACAGCGCUGGAAGAACUCUAGGACGAUGUGGGUGAACCUGGGUCGUACAUGAGCCAACUACUGGGUCCUAAUCAACCACGACAUCCAACUAGCUGAGGUGGUUUGUGGGGCUAGUGACACAGGGGAAUUGCCAGACCAGCUGACCAGUAUCUGCGCUUGGACAGACAGCGAUAACCGAUUGGGAUCAAGCGGGGUUCAUCUGUGACACCGGAGCGGUCACACCUGAAACAGCAGCAGGCGAGAACGAUCAACAAAGACGUGACGGGGAGCUUAACAACGUUGGUGACUCAGCAGUGGCUACGCCGGAAACAUGGAAACACGUCAGCCUACAGACAGCUAUCAACGAUAAUUCUGGACUUGUACCAUGAUCAUUCUCAACAAACAGCGGGUCCCAACACACAGACCCAAGCGAUUGAUCAGAGGUGGGAGAUUGACCAUCUGGUGACCUGGUGUGGACAGAACAACCUGGAGCUAAAUGCAC